rnacentral:snRNA from 1 species
AUCGUUUCUCAGCCUUUUAGCUAAGAUCAAGUGUAGUAUCUGUUCUUAUCAGUUUAAAAUCACUGGUAGCCAUAAUGGUUUCUCUUUCUUGAGAUUCAGCAGUGAGUACCUCAG